rnacentral:rRNA from 1 species
GCCAGCAGCCGCGGUAAUACGGAGGGGGUUAGGCGUUGUUCGGAAUUACUGGGCGUAAAGACGCGCGUAGGCGGACCAGAAAGUUAGGGGGUGGAAAUACCCGGGGCUCAACCCCGGAACUGCCUCCAAAACUACCUGGUCUAGAGUUCGAGAGAGGUGAGUGGAAUUCCGAGUGUAGAGGUGAAAUUCGUAGAUAUUCGGAGGAACACCAGUGGCGAAGGCGGCUCACUGGCUCGAUACUGACGCUGAGGUGCGAAAGUGUGGGGAGCAAACAGGAUUAGAUACCCCUGGUAG